GCGAAAUCAUAUAUUAGUUACCAUAUCAGAUAUCACAUCUUCUAAUUUUGUUGACGUAAAUGCUACAUAACCUAAUUUUUCUUACGAGGAUGCCACAUGUACAAUUUUUUGUUAAAAUAAAUCAAAUUAGUUGUUUUAUAUAAUAUCUUUUUUAGAAAAUGAAAAUGUUUAUAAAUUUUUAUUAUUUAAUAAUAUUAACAAAACUUA
rnacentral:lncRNA from 1 species